AGCCCUCCGAGGGAGGGGGAGGCAGGAGUUGUAGAGUGAGACGUGGAGAAGGAUGGUCAUACAAGUACACAGAACAACCAAGAAAGGAGAGGGGAAGCACCCAACCCUAAAGGACAGCGAGAGAGACAGGAGAAAGGGCUGCAGAGGCAGUGAGAGUCUGUGGACCUUGUAAGAGCAAGGAAAGGACCAACCCUGCUGCCCAGACCGGGUCACAGCUGGUCUCCCUACAGCUCAUCUCUGCCCUGAAGCUCCAGACUGGGACCCAGCUGGUCUCCCUACAGCUCAUCGCUGCCCUGCUGCCCAGACUGGGACCCAGCUGGUCUCCCUACAGCUCAUCUCUGCCCUGAAGCUCCAGACUGGGACCCAGCUGGUCUCCCUACAGCUCAUCUCUGCCCUGCUGCCCAGACUGGGACCCAGCUGGUCUCCCUACAGCUCAUCUCUGCCCUGAAGCUCCAGACUGGGACCCAGCUGGUCUCCCUACAGCUCAUCGCUGCCCUGCUGCCCAGACUGGGACCCAGCUGGUCUCCCUACAGCUCAUCUCUGCCCUGAAGCUCCAGACUGGGACCCAGCUGGUCUCCCUACAGCUCAUCUCUGCCCUGAAGCUCCAGACUGGGACCCAGCUGUUCUCCCUACAGCUCAUCUCUGCCCAGACUGGGACCCAGCUGGUCUCCCUACAGCUCAUCUCUGCCCUGAAGCUCCAGACUGGGACCCAGCUGGUCCUCCUACAGCUCAUUUCUGUCCUGAAGCUUCAGACUGGGACCCAGCUGGUCCCCCUACAGCUCAUCUCUGCCCUGCUGCCCAGACUGGGACCCAGCUGGUCCCCCUACAGCUCAUCUCUGCCCUGCUGCCCAGACUAGGACCCAGCUGGUCUCCCUACAGCUCAUCUCUGCCCUGAAGCUCCAGACUGGGACCCAGCUGGUCUCCCUACAGCUCAUCUCUGCCCUGAAGCUCCAGAAUGGGACCCAGCUGGUCUCCCUACAGCUCAUCUCUGCCCUGAAGCUCCAGACUGGGACCCAGCUGGUCUCCCUACAGCUCAUCUCUGCCCUGAAGCUCCAGCCUGGGACCCAGCUGGUCUCCCUACAGCUCAUCUCUGCCCUGCUGCCCAGACUAGGACCCAGCUGGUCUCCCUACAGCUCAUCUCUGCCCUGAAGCUCCAGACUGGGACCCAGCUGGUCUCCCUACAGCUCAUCUCUGCCCUGAAGCUCCAGACUGGGACCCAGCUGGUCUCCCUACAGCUCAUCUCUGCCCUGCUGCCUAGCCUGGGACCCAGCUGGUCCCCCUACAGCUCAUCUCUGCCCUGAAGCUCCAGACUGGGACCCAGCUGGUCCCCCUACAGCUCAUCUCUGCCCUGAAGCUCCAGACUGGGACCCAGCUGGUCUCCCUACAGCUCAUCUCUGCCCUGCUGCCCAGCCUGGGACCCAGCUGGUCCCCCUACAGCUCAUCUCUGCCCUGCUGCCCAGACUGGGUCCCAGCUGGUCCCCCUACAGCUCAUCUCUGCCCUGAAGCUCCAGACUGGGACCCAGCUGGUCUCCCUACAGCUCAUCUCUGCCCUGAAGCUCCAGACUGGGACCCAGCUGGUCUCCCUACAGCUCAUCUCUGCCCUGAAGCUCCAGACUGGGACCCAGCUGGUCUCCCUACAGCUCAUCUCUGCCCUGCUGCCCAGCCUGGGACCCAGCUGGUCUCCCUACAGCUCAUCUCUGCUCUGCUGCCCAGCCUGGGACCCAGCUGGUCCCCCUACAGCUCAUCUCUGCCCUGCUGCCCAGACUGGGUCCCAGCUGGUCCCCCUACAGCUCAUCUCUGCCCUGAAGCUCCAGACAUUCACAGAGGAGAUGAGUAAAAUAAUAUUUAUCUUCACAUAACUGUCUGUAUCUUUUGAGCUGCAUGUCCCUACUGGCUGUGCCAUUUACUGACACACUGUGUGUGUGAAUUAACAGGCCAUGGACACGGAGCUGCAUGACCCAUCAGUGUGUGGAGUGUGUGUGCAGCAGCAGGAAGCUUUGUCCCUAAACACCUUCAUCAGGAGGAAGACUACGCAACUAGACACUAACAUACUGGAGGAUAAACUACACACACACCUCUGUAACAGGGUCCUGUAGCUGCUGCCAUGUUAUUAUAGUCACUUUCUGUCCUUAUGUUCCUGUACACUUAAAAGGCCCUCUGAAUGGCAAACAGUCCCAAGAACAACAAGUCUUAUGAGAACAGAAUAUUAAUCGGUGUUCUCAUGUGCUGUAGGAUGCAGUGGGAUAAUCUCAUUUGCAUACUCCUCUAACCCCAUUGGAGGAGGUCAGAGAGGUGGUACCUGUAGCUUUCUCAUCCAAUGGGUUUUGAGGAGACAGGGAAAGAGGACACCAGGAGAAUGCAAAUAAGGUUUUCCCAGUAUGUUUGUUGGGUGAGUUGCUGAGGAGCCUCCCCAAGCCCUCUGACUCCCCCAGCAGGAUCUGGGAACAACUGCAGCCCAGAGGAAGACAGCAACUUGGGGUUACCUUGGAGACAGGACAGGAAUCUGGAUGUACUCUGCCAACGCAAUGUCAAUGAAGGGGUUACCUUGAAGGCCCAGAAUGUUAACCUGACAGCAGUACGAGAACUGAGUUAAAGGUGCCUUCGUACUGGCACUAUCACCAUGUGGACAUAUCUGAAAUAUUUCCUACGUACUGCACUACUUCUGAUCAGAGCCCUGUGUGACCCAGCCUGUGAUUUUCACUGAGUGUCAUUGAUCCUGUGUAUUAUAAUGAGAUUCAUCUUAUAAAAGAAAAUACAAUUUCAACUGCAGUACAAAA